UUUCNNUGGGGAAGAAGGUCAUAUUGCUAAUAUCAAUAUUGCUUGACGUUACCCAUGUAAGAAGCACCGGCUAACUCCGUGCCAGCAGCCGCGGUAAUACGGAGGGUGCAAGCGUUAAUCGGAAUUACUGGGCGUAAAGAGUACGUAGGUGGGUUAUUAAGUCAGGUGUGAAAUCCCUGAGCUUAACUUAGGAACUGCAUUUGAAACUGAUAAUCUAGAGUUUCGUAGAGGGGGGUAGAAUUCCAGGUGUAGCGGUGAAAUGCGUAGAGAUCUGGAGGAAUACCAGUGGCGAAGGCGACCCCCUGGGCGAGGACUGACACUCAGGUACGAAAGCAUGGGGAGCAAACAGGAUUAGAUACCCUGGUAGUCCAUGCUGUAAACGAUGUCGAUUUGAAGGUUGUGACCUUUGAGUUGUGACUUUCGGAGUUAACGCGUUAAAUCGACCGUCUGGGGAGUACGACCGCAAGGUUAAAACUCAAAUGAAUUGACGGGGGCCCGCACAAGCGGUGGAGCAUGUGGUUUAAUUCGAUGCAACACGAAGAACCUUACCUACUCUUGACAUCCAAAGAACUACGUAGAGAUAUGUGGGUGCCUUCGGGAACUUUGAGACAGGUGCUGCAUGGCUGUCGUCAGCUCGUGUUGUGAAAUGUUGGGUUAAGCAACGAGCGCAACCCUUAUCCUUUGUUGCCAACGAGUUAGGUCGGGAACUCAAAGGAGACUGCUGGUGAUAAACCGGAGG
rnacentral:rRNA from 1 species